UUCAGCUGUUGGAAGAACCGGUUGAGAUCAUUGACAAUGCUUUGGAGUUACGAGCUUUUGACCGUAUGGAGGAAGACAUCAAACUCAUUGGUUUCUUCAAGAGUCGUGACUCUGAACAUUAUCUUGCUUUCCAAGAGGCAGCUGAACAGUUUCAGCCUUUUAUCAAUUUUUUUGCCACCUUUGAGAAAUCUGUUGCAAAAGAGCUGACUCUGAAGAUGAAUGAGGUGGAC